rnacentral:rRNA from 1 species
AGAGUCGAGUUGUUUGGGAAUGCAGCUCAAAUUGGGUGGUAAAUUCCAUCUAAAGCUAAAUAUUGGCGAGAGACCGAUAGCGAACAAGUACCGUGAGGGAAAGAUGAAAAGCACUUUGGAAAGAGAGUUAACAGUACGUGAAAUUGUUGGAAGGGAAACGCUUGAAGUCAGACUUGCUUGCCGAGCAAUCGGUUUGCAGGCCAGCAUC